AGCGAACGCUGGCGGCAGGCCUAACACAUGCAAGUCGAACGGACCCUUCGGGGUUAGUGGCGGACGGGUGAGUAACACGUGGGAACGUGCCUUUAGGUUCGGAAUAGCUCCUGGAAACGGGUGGUAAUGCCGAAUGUGCCCUUCGGGGGAAAGAUUUAUCGCCUUUAGAGCGGCCCGCGUCUGAUUAGCUAGUUGGUGAGGUAACGGCUCACCAAGGCGACGAUCAGUAGCUGGUCUGAGAGGAUGACCAGCCACACUGGGACUGAGACACGGCCCAGAAUCCUACGGGAGGCAGCAGUGGGGAAUCUUGCGCAAUGGGCGAAAGCCUGACGCAGCCAUGCCGCGUGAAUGAUGAAGGUCUUAGGAUUGUAAAAUUCUUUCACCGGGGACGAUAAUGACGGUACCCGGAGAAGAAGCCCCGGCUAACUUCGUG
rnacentral:rRNA from 1 species